GAUCCCGACAUCUCUCACUAUUGUAUCCCCCGAUAUGAUAUUAUCUUAUGGGUGGGGUAAGCGCUCCCCNAGCGCACACAUACUCUAUACUCUGGUGUGAGAAGANCACCAGCCACUCUGGGACUGACACACGGCCCACACUCCUACGGGAGGCAGCAGUGGGAAAUUUUGGACAGUGGGGGAAACCCUGAUCCACCUGUCCCGCGUGUAUAAUAAGGGCCUUCGGGUUGUAAAAUACUUUUGGCAGAGAAGAGAAGGUAUCUCCUAAUACUAGGUACUGCUGACGGCAUCUGCAGAAUAAGCACCGGCUAUCUACGUGCCACCACCCGCGGUAAUACGUGGGGUGCAAGCGUUUAUCAGAAUUUCUGGGUGUAGAGCAUGUGUGCGCGGUUUUGAAACAGAUAUGUGAUCUCCCAGGUCUCACCUCUUGAAAACUGUAUUUUUAUCUGCCGAUCUAGAGUAUGUCAGAGGGGGGUAGAAUUCCGUGUGUAGCAGUGAUGUGCAUAGAUAUGUGAGAAGAAUACCGAUGGAAAACGCACCCCCCUGACAAUAAUUGUGACUCUCGUACACAAAACGCGUGGGAGAGCACACGGAUAUUAAUAUACCCUGU
rnacentral:rRNA from 1 species